rfam:Ovis aries breed Texel chromosome 8, whole genome shotgun sequence.
UCUCUGGUGGUCCAGUGGUUAAGACUCCACACUCUUUAAGUAGGGGGCCCAGGUUCGAUCCCUGGUCAGGGAA